ensembl:snoRNA
ACUGCCCCUAGAAGAGUUGAAGUGUAGCUGCUGUGUCAAAUGUGCAUCAUUAGGUGGCAGAGGGGAGAGAGGCUGUGUCUACACUCAGUGUUCGGAGCUGUGAACCUCUGAAGGAUUUGUAGCCUUACCCU